CUGUCUGAAUAUGGGGGGACCAUCCUCCAAGGCUAAAUACUCCUGACUGACCGAUAGUGAACCAGUACCGUGAGGGAAAGGCGAAAAGAACCCCGGCGAGGGGAGUGAAAAAGAACCUGAAACCGUGUACGUACAAGCAGUGGGAGCACGCUUAGGCGUGUGACUGCGUACCUUUUGUAUAAUGGGUCAGCGACUUAUAUUCUGUAGCAAGGUUAACCGAAUAGGGGAGCCGAAGGGAAACCGAGUCUUAACUGGGCGUUAAGUUGCAGGGUAUAGACCCGAAACCCGGUGAUCUAGCCAUGGGCAGGUUGAAGGUUGGGUAACACUAACUGGAGGACCGAACCGACUAAUGUUGAAAAAUUAGCGGAUGACUUGUGGCUGGGGGUGAAAGGCCAAUCAAACCGGGAGAUAGCUGGUUCUCCCCGAAAGCUAUUUAGGUAGCGCCUCGUGAAUUCAUCUCCGGGGGUAGAGCACUGUUUCGGCAAGGGGGUCAUCCCGACUUACCAACCCGAUGCAAACUGCGAAUACCGGA
rnacentral:rRNA from 1 species